AUACUUACCUGGCAGGGGAGAUACCAUGAUCACGAAGGUGGUUUUCCCAGGGCGAGGCUUAUCCAUUGCACUC
ensembl:snRNA U1 U1 spliceosomal RNA